CUGCUAUGACAGGGCACCACUGAGUUCAAUGCAAUGUCUCACAGUUGCUGUACUCUCCCUCUCCCAGGCUCAGAAAUUCUCCCUCUGAGCCAGGUGGUCACUGCUGGGAAAUGGGGGAGGGGUGGUGUCAGUGAUUCAAGAGUCUCUCUGGCCCUCCUCAGUGCCUCUUUGAGCUACAUGAAGCUAAAACCAGUGCUUGGAAAUGGGGACCCAUCGCACUUCAUCCUCAUGAAGCUUACGACCAGCGUGGAAGUCAAUCAAACAGCUACACUAAGGUGGAGUGUGGAUGAUUGAGGAAGUACUGGAGACUCCUGGAACAAAGCAGGCUCCUAACAUCCAUUCCACGUGGUCAGGGAAAGCUUCCCAGAGGAAGCAAAGCACAAGCAAGAUCUGAGGAUGAAGAUGAGUUGGUCAAGCGCAGAAGAGGAGUUCAGGAAAAAAGAUGCAGCCUUUGCAAAGGGUCAGAGGCAAAACAGUAACUAACAUACAUCCACCAAGGAACUAGAAAAAGUUCUUCAUGGUCACUUGACACACAUGUACUUUUCUAUCCUCAUCUUGACUAUUUUCCAUCUUCAAAGGAGCAUAAUGUGAGGAAAGAGCCCCAGAUUUGGAGCCAGACAGGUUCAAAUUAACAUUUUUGUUCUGCCACUUGCAGUCUUAGACAAGUUGCCCAUCCUCCCUAAGCUUCAGGCUUAUUUUCGGCAAUAUAAUAAUAACAUCUAAAUUGAGCCGUUCUCAUUAAGAUGUCUACGAUUUGGCCAGGCAUGAUGGCUCAUGCCUGUAAUCCCAACAUUUUGGGAGGCUGAGACAGGCAGAUCACUUGAGGUCAGGAAUUUGAGACCAGCCUGGCCAACAAGGCAAAACCCCAUCUCUACUAAAAAUACAAAAAUUAGCCCGGCAUGAUGGUGCGCACCUGUAAUCUCAGCCAUUUGGGAGGCUGAAGCAGGAGAAUUGCUUGAACCCGGGAGGCAGAUGUUGCAGUGAACUGAGAUCGCGCCCCUGCACUCCAGCCUGGGCAACAGAGCGAGACUCCAUCUCAAAAAAAUAAAAUAAAAUAAAAUGUCGAUUAUUUCAUUUACAAAAAUGGCUUGUACAGAGAGACUCAAUAAAUGAUGGUUUGUCUUCCUGGUAAAUAAGUAUAUAUAUAUGACCUCUGCCCCAAGCAUUUUGUAAAAAUUUGAAGUGUUUCUUGUGUUCAUGAUUUUAUGGAUUCAUGGAAUCUGCUUUUUAUUUAACCUAAUACUGUUUUUACCAACUGUGUAAUUUGAAUGCAGAACUGGAAGAGACUGCAGAGAAUCAUCUGCAGCUUCCCCAAGGGGGGGUCUUGAUGACUGUCAUUUGAGGAAGGAAAAUUCUUCACUGGGCAAGAUCAUCUUGUGCAUUGUAGGAUGUUUUCUAACCCAGACUGGCAACCAGUGAAUGUCAGGAAUAUCCCAAGUGAAUGUGACAAAUAAAAAUGCCCCUACAGUUUUC
rnacentral:lncRNA from 1 species